UGCUGGCCACAACCAUGGAUGACUCACAGGAAAGACAGAGGCACCUCAAGAAGCUGGCUUCAGGGACAGGUAAGGAGGAUGACCCUGGUCCCCAUCAGGAGUGCCCUAAACUGAACAGAACCAAUGUGCUUAUUGCAAAGAAGAGGGCCACUGGGUAAAAGAGUGCCCUAACAAAAGAUCUAAGGCCCCUGCCAAGAUCUUGGAGAUGGAGGACUAGGACGACUAGGGGAGUUGGGGUUCGGCAACUCUCCCCGAGCCCAAAGUAACUCUCAGAGUGGAGGGGCAACUCGUUGAAUUCCUAGUGGACACUGGGGCACAACACUAGGUUUUAUUACAACCCCAAGGGAAAUUGGCAAGCAAGACUUCAUGGAUGCAAGGGGCCACGGGAACCAAACAGUACUCAUGGACUACCCGAAGAACUGUGGAUCUCGGCAUGAGCCGGGUAUCCCACUCCUUCAUGGUCAUCCUUGAGUGUCUCUACCCGUUGUUAGGUUGGGACUUGCUCACCAAGAUGGGGGCACAAAUUCACUUCCACCCCAAAAGGGCAAAAAUUCUAAACAAGGAGGGGCACUCGAUUCAGGUACUUGUCCUGAGUUUAGAAGACGAAUAUCGUCUCCACCAAAUGCCCUCAGCUCCAAUGACUAACAUUGUCCUUUGGCUGCAGGAAUUUCCCCAAGCCUGGGCAGAAACUGGGGGAAUUGGGCUGGCCCGGCACCGACUGGCCAUAUAUAUAGAACUAAAGCUGGGGGCAGACCCUGUCGGGGCCCGCCAAUACUAAAUGCCUCUCACAGCGCGUAGGCGACUACUGGACUCGGGCAUAUUGAGGCCUUGCCAAUUGGCAUGGAACACUCCCUUGCUGCCAGUGUGGAAACCGCACUCUAAUGAUUACAGGCCAGUCUAGGACUUAAGGGAAGCCAACCGGCGAGUAGAGGAUAUGCACCCUACGGUCCCAAACCCAUAGACACUCCUCUCCACCCUACCUCCAGACAAAACUUGGUAUAUGGUAUUAGAUUUAAAAGAUGCCUUUUUCAGCCUGCCUUUAGCACCCAAGAGCCAAGACCUUUUUGCCUUUGAAUGGACGGACCCCGAGAAAGGCAUCAAUGGCCAGCUCACCUGGACUCGACUACCACAAGGAUUCAAAAAUUCACCGACCAUGUUCGAUGAGGCCUUACAUGAAGACUUGGGUGAAUUCCAUUCCAAGCACCCUCAUUUGACCUUAUUGCAAUAUGUGGAUGAUAUCCUGUUGGCGGCUGAAGACCAGGACACAUGCCUGCAGGCAUUAGGGACUUGCUCCAGACCAUAGCGGCCCUAGGAUACCAGGCCUCAGUUAAAAAAGCCCAGAUCUGCAGAACAGAGAAAACAUACAAAUAAAAUGUGUGAACACAGAGCUCCUGAAAAUUCAAAGAGAUCCCUGCUUCUCAGGGUGGAGCAUGUCCUGUAUAGAGAUAAGGGCUUUGACUCAUGACUGUAAGAAAUGAUGGUACAGAAGAAGCUACCCAGACAGGGGCAUGUCUUUGUUUUCACUGGCCCUUAAUCAUCAGAGAUUGAGAACAAUUAGCCCAUGUGGACUGGGAAGCACUACCUUGAGCCUUCAGAAUACUCACUGGUUGCUGGUAAAAACAAGAAAAACCAUGAAGUGAUAGUGUUAUGUCCUCACACAACAGCCAAAUGAUCAAAUGUGGGCACAUCAAGAUAGAAAAUGGUCUAAAAAAGUGAAAGGAAAGCAGAAGAGAUGUGCAUCUACCCUUCAGGAUCCUCUAGAAAUAUUAUAGUGAGGAAAGCAAAUGUGAAAGACAUUCCAUGCCAUUCUUGCUCAUAUAGUAAGAAUUUGCACACACAAAUAACAUACUUCAUAAGAUUCAAAUCUGAGGGACCAUUUCCCCUAAAGAUUCCUCAUUUCUCCCAGAAAAGAAAUAAAAAGCUGAUGAACCAAGUCACAUGAAAAUGAAAUGUCUAGACUAUCAACUCAUACAGUGUGAUCCAGACACUGAAGCCAUGAAUUAAUGGAUGCAAUAGCAUGCUUUCACCAGACAGCUUAUAUAAGACUGUAAAAAUAAUGGAAAUGUUUAAAACUCCAAAUUAAAAGAAAUAAUGUUUGAAGAAGUAUUAACAGUUUGAGUGGAGUAACAGUGGCAAAAAUAGUACAGUAAGGACCCCUAGGUCUCAAAGAAAUGGAAAAAAUUCACAAAAAUUAUCAAAACCAACCUUAUCAGAACUCUCAAAGCUUGUCAAAUAUUUCUGGUAACCAAGUGAACAGUAAGUCAGGGCAUAAGUACACUGAAAUAGGGUAGAAGAGCACUGUGAUAUUUUAACAUUUCUAGGCCAACCCUCUUACCCAAUAUAGCAUCUAUCUUGAAGACCGUAGCCUGUGUUCCCUGAGUGGGUACUUGGUUCCAGAAAGAGAAAAGCAAAUCUUGUUCCCAGGAAAUUGUGUUUGUUGGUUUUGCCUUGACAGGGAUUUCUAUAAAGAACUGAUUCAAGGGGCUAAUUCACAAAGAAAACAGAAAAUCUA